AUUGAACGCUGGCGGCAGGCCUAACACAUGCAAGUCGAGCGGAGCGGCUGACGGGGGGGUAAUUCCUAGCAAUCUGCCUGUCCUUGCGGGAUAACUUCCGGAAACGAGCGCUAAUACCGCAUACUAGCAGAUGAGCCUAGGUCUGAUUAGCUAGUUGUGUGGUUAAAGGCCUACCAAGGCGACGAUCCGUAACUGGUCUGAGAGGAUGACCAGUCACACUGGAACUGAGACACGGACCAGACUCCUACGGUAGGCAGCAGUGGGGAAUUUUGGACAAUGGGCGAAAGCCUGAUCCAGCCAUGCCGCGUGUGUGAGGAAGGUCUUCGGAUUGUAAAGUGCUUUAGGUUGGGAGGCGGUACCAGAAGAAUAAGCACCGGCUAACUUCGUGCCAGCCGCCGCGGUAAUAC
rnacentral:rRNA from 1 species